GGGGAUAAUCGGGAGAAAUCCCGUCUAAUACCGCGUAAUGCCGCGGGGCUGCAUGGCCCUGCGGCCAAAGGGAGCGAUUCCGGCAACGGAUGGGCAUGCGUGACAUUAGCUAGUUGGCGGGGCAACGGCCCACCAAGGCGACGAUGUCUAGGGGUUCUGAGAGGAAGGUCCCCCACACUGGUACUGAGACACGGACCAGACUCCUACGGGAGGCAGCAGUGAGGAAUAUUGGUCAAUGGGCGCGAGCCUGAACCAGCCAAGUCGCGUGAGGGAUGACGGCCCUACGGGUUGUAAACCUCUUUUGUCGGGGAGCAAAUUCCGCCACGUGUGGCGGAGUCGAGAGUACCCGAAGAAAAAGCAUCGGCUAACUCCGUGCCAGCAGCCGCGGUAAUACGGAGGAUGCGAGCGUUAUCCGGAUUUAUUGGGUUUAAAGGGUGCGUAGGCGGCCUGUCAAGUCAGCGGUAAAAUACGGGGGCUCAACCUCCGCCCGCCGUUGAAACUGACGGUCUUGAGUGGGCGAGAAGUAUGCGGAAUGCGUGGUGUAGCGGUGAAAUGCAUAGAUAUCACGCAGAACUCCGAUUGCGAAGGCAGCAUACCGGCGCCCGACUGACGCUGAAGCACGAAAGCGUGGGUAUCGAACAGGAUUAGAUACCCUGGUAGUCCACGCAGUAAACGAUGAA
rnacentral:rRNA from 1 species